CUAUUAUGCCGGCUGAAAAACAAGCGUUCUGGAAUAAAACAUGUUCCAGUCGUAACUAUCCAGUGUAUUAUUCAUACGAAUAACACUUGAAGGUGGCAGCGGUGACUAAAGUGAUCACCCACGGAGCAGGACGAGAGGGGGAGUUGUCCGAGGAGAAGUAUGUCGUCGCCCGCACUACACGUGUAAACUGUCGGUACCAACGGAGGAGCCGAGCUAACUGAUAGCAGCGAGAGCUGCACACCUACCGACCAUGAACUGGACCGACCCGGACCUGAGUGAGGCAAUAUCACUGUUUAAACAGAAAAUGAUUCUUUACCUAGAGGACGAAGAAAUAACAGAUGGUGCUAAGCAGGCAAGGAAAGUAUGCCGUGGCAUUGGAGAUGAAGGACUGAAUGCCAGUGGUCGCAGUGAGGAUGACAAGAAGAAGCCUGCUAAACUAUGGGAAUUCUAUGAAGAUAAUUUAUUAUAACUAAGUUAAUGCUUUGUGGAAUAAGACCAGCAGGUCAACCACAGCAUUUGAAAUUGUGGAACGUGAAUGCAAGAUGCAGUUUCUCUGACCCAAUCAAACUCGUUGGAGCGCCAUGUUCUUUGCUGUAGAAAGGGUGGUGCACAUUCAGAAGGAGCGAGGAGAAAAAGCACUCCGCAAUGUGUGCAUAGCACUGCGGAUAAAGAUGCUCAAUACAGCUGAAAUGGCAUUUUUGACUGAGGACCUGAAUAUCCUCCAAGGGCAAUCAUCAUUGCAUAUGGAUUUGGGCUUCCUGCUGCCAACACUUCACCAGUUGCAGGACAAGCUGAAGAAGUUGGAGUCAUCUUGCAAAGUGUGUAGACCUCUCAUUGAUGUCCUGCAGGAGGGGAUCCAGAAACAUUUUGGAGAGAUGAUGAAACAACCUGAGCUGAUUGCAGCAGCUUUACGCCUACCAAAAUUCAGGACAUCCUGGACCACUGAUGAGCAUCUUAAAUGACGGCAUCAAAAAUCACAUGGACACUGACUUGGAGAUGGAUGAUGCUCCCACAAACAGUAGUCACUCUGAUGAAGAUGACUUCUUUGCAUCGCUGAGUACAGGACAAUCAAAAACAGGAGAGCUAGAGAGGUACCUUUCAUGUCCAUCCACUGGAGGUAUGGAUCUCUUGCAUUCCUUUCCUCAAAUCAAGAGCCUGUCACUGAAAAUCAACACAAGCCUCCCAGCAUCUGCAGCCUGUGAGAGACUUUUUAGUCACGCAGGACUCCUGUUCACGGCUAAGAGGUCACAGCUUCACAGUGUGAACCCUGAGAGCCAGUUGUUAUUGAAACUGAAUAGUCACUUAACUGAGUGAUUCUGAAUGAACAUGCAAAACUUCACAUGCACACACACACACACACACUCAUGCAUACAAACACUAAUCAGAAGUGCACAGUGUGUUCCCAGGUGCAGCCCACACCUAUCAGAGUUUAGGGUUUUUGUGAAGGCUAACUUGUUCUUUCCCUUAGUAAUCUCUGUCUACUGAGCCUAUGGUGCUGUUAAGUUAUUGUGGCUCAUUUUGCCUUAAUUUAUUUUAUUUUAAUGUAUUAUUUAAUUUAUAAUACAUGCUUAAAGGCCUAUUGAAACCCACUACUACCGACCACGCAGUCUGAUAGUUUAUAUAUCAAUGAUGAAAUCUUAACAUUAU